rnacentral:lncRNA from 1 species
UGAGCUUCCGGAGUAGAUACUGGGAAUAGCACAAUGGUCCAGUAAAACAGUACUAGUGCUCUUGACCAUUGAACCAUCUGCCCAGACUCUCAACCUUUAUCUUAAUUACAAUAUUGAGGAAGUCUCAAGAACAAAAGCACCUUUCGGAAAAGUUAAUAAAUAUUUAAUUAAAUGUGAUAGCUUUAAAAAGUUAUAUGAGAUUCUUUUAAACCAACCUCUUAAUAAAAUCAUUAAAGGAUAUGAUGGUGCCCAAACUAAAUUACUGAGCUAUUACUGGGAUUUCGUCAAGACAAAGGUACUCAGCCUGAGGUCCUUGAAUGGUUUCUGCCUCAGCACUUUCUGAAGAUUGGUCAGAAAUGGAAAUGUGCAGUCUAGAGUCUCGGUGAUGUUUAGAAACCUGGUUGUAGCAAAUGCUCCAAGGGAGUUGUAGUUUGCAAGCCGCUGCCUUAGGCAACUUCUUAAUAUGAUGAAUGUAAAAAUGUUAAAAAAAAAAAAGAAA